rnacentral:tRNA from 1 species
GGGGAUUUAGCUCAGUGGCAUAAGCACCUGCCUUGCAAGCAGGCGGUCGUGGGUUCGAUUCCCGGUACCA